GUCUGUUUGUGAUGUUGUGCAUCAGUGUGCACUUUUAUACACGCACGUUUACAUUAUAUCACAACAUGAACGUCCGUCAAAGAAAGAGCAAAUUUACCGUUUCCGGACUUUGAUGGCUGACCGCAGCCAUGACGACUGUGUGUGGGUGUGUGUGUGUAUAUAUACAAAUAUAUAUACACACACCUUAACACAAAAAAAUAUAGCAAGUGAGACAGACAGAAUGCGAGAGAGACAAUUUGAGAGGAAGCGAGACAACUGAGAGAAAGGCGGUUACAAGGAAGGAGGGAGGGACAGCAUGGAAUGCUGUGAUGUCAUCAGCCAGUCAUACACACAAAGACAAGGAGGCUCUCUUGACUCUCAGCUUACUUAGCAUACUCUGUUGUGGAGCAGCUGUCUACAUCCUACUAUACUCCAAUGAUGACAGGAAAUUGACGUCUCGGUGUGUGGGAGAAACUGUCCACUAAGAAAAGUGAUUUUAUCCUGUCCUCUUCAAAUGUGUGAGGAUGAUCACUUGUCGCGAUUUGUGAAGUUCCUCCAGAGAAGAAUCCUUCAGGAUUUUGGCACAUCAAAAUGUUUUGAAAGCAUGAAACUAUAAAAGCACAACUGUUCACCUCUGGACGGAGAAACUCCCUCCCUGCACCACCUCAACCAGGUGGAACCCCCGACUGACCCGCUUUCUAAUCUGCCAAAUCUGCCACCACAAUGCUGCAACAGAUCCUAAAGGACAUGUACAUCGACCCCGAUGUGCUGGAGGCUCUUAACGAGGACCAGAAAAAGACACUGUUCCUGAAGAUGCGCCAAGAGCAGGUGCGGCGCUGGAUGGAGCGUGAGGAGAAACUGGAGCGAGAAGGCGAGAGGAAAGAAACAAAAAAAGCCAACAGCAAGAAUGUGAGCUGGCUGCUGGGUCGCGAUGGCGAUGUGGCCGUCAUUGUUAUCGGGGAAAUGGACGAGUUGACUUCCAAAUGCAUCAUCUCAGGAUUGGGAGAAAAAAAGGCACCCUGUCCACAGAACAAUUCAUUCAAUCAAACCAUUUUGAAAAGCAGAAUAAAUGCAGAAGUCAUGACUGACAGAGAAAACCUUCCUUCUCAGACACAACCUGGAAUAUCCUUGAAUUUGAAGGCCAAAUGUGAAGAGGCAAGCACUUUACACCCCCUGGCGGUGUCAGUGAGUGAGCAUUCAUCAGCAUCUGCAACUGCACACGAGGAAGAGAAGUCACUAAACGUGACCAAUGAAAAGCCCGUCUCCCAGCCCAGGCUUCCCAGGAGAACCAACGCUUUCAUCAUGAAGCCUGCCAAUGCGAGCGUGGCGCCGGGACCCGUCAACGCAAGACCCGCCGUCGCAAAUCUGAGGCAGGCCAGUGUGGCGUCAUCUCCUCCCCUCAGCGCCACGGCCAAAAUGGACAGCGGAACGGCGGCGGCUUUUAAAGUGGACUUGGAGUCACAGGGCUUUGAAAAGAUUGAGGAGUCACAGAAAGCCAAAGGAGUGAUCCUUCCUGGAACAUCAUCUGACGAAGGCCACAAGACAAAACACUUUGGUCUCGCACUGUGCUGUCGAGACUGUUGCUUUUUUUUAAUUUUUUGUAUUUUUUUGAGGGGGGGAGCCUCGAACAUUCUCAUUCUAAAAACUAUUGUGUAUUAUAAUAGUUUGACAAAAUGUCAAUAAUGAAGAUGUGAAGCCUAUUUCAAGGAGACAUUAUGCAUUUUUGUCAAAAUGUAUAAAACGGUUAACAAGUCUGUAAUAUGCUUUCGUCAAAAUAUCACAAGGAUCUGUAUUAUAGUUAUAUAUUUUCUCUUGCUAAAAUCAUUGUUUUUAGAGGCUGCCAAUACGAUUGGGUGCUGCAUGCAGUCCUGCCUGAAUACAGCAACUAAUAAUUGUAGCGGGCUGUGUCCUGCAGCGGGGUCGGCUUUCCUCUCUUCUCUCCUCACCUUCAGAGGGAAGGACGCACAUUCCUGCGCCGCUUCCCGACUCUAGCCCUGGGCGACGCUCAGCCCCGUGCUGAUAAGUGACAGGGGCCCCAGUGGCGUGCACACACACAAGCACACACACACACACCCUGCCCUUCUGUCCACAGACGUGCUGCUCGGGAAUUCUGCCCUCUGCUCCACUUCUGCCUCCCCCACCUCCUUCCUCUCUCGCUCUCCUGCUCGCACUCUUGACGAGGGGUCUUCAAAGAGAUAGAUUGGUCUUUAAUUUCAGCGCCAGACUGGUCAGUGGCGUUAUCGCCCAACACCUCCCGCACACCCACCCUCACCCACUCACCGUCAUCCCUUCCCCUACUAUGCACAAGGGAGUGAGAGAUCUAAAUUGGAGAUUUAUUAAUCAAUCCAGGAUGAUUAAACACCGAUAUUUUGGUCCACUUGAUGGUUGUUUAUUUGCCGAGCAGUGUCUUUUUUUCUCAUUUGUUAUAGUCAGAUGACUACAUUCAAGAAUAGUGUAUACUGGGUGGGUGUUUUUUAUUUUGUUACCUUAGUUGACACUUAAAAAAAAACACACUCCCUCUUUCUGUCUGCCUCUGUGUUUAUUAAGUAUUCCACUCAGGCCUUCACCAAGGCUCCGAGCACAAAAAACACACUCUGACCGCCACUCAGUGUGUGUGUGUGUGUGUGUGUGUGUGUGUAUCCGCAUGUGCGUCCGCCUUGCGCGCUCGGUGCGUGCCUGAAUGUGUGUCAGCCUCAAUUGCUGGAGCCUGCCCAAGGUUUCCGUGGUGACUGCACAACACAACGAGACAAUCAGGGGCAGGCCCACGCAGCGCUGAGAGAGGACAUUAACACAGGAACCGGGGGUGGGGUCAGAGGUCAGAGGAAGGCAGGCAGAAAGACGCUAAGCAACAAAGGUGAAGUCUAAACAGCAAUAAACAAUAACACAACCUACUUUCAUGUGUUCAUUUUUCAAAGAAAAGGCCUGAGGAUUGCCUGCCAUGUGUGCGUGCGUGUGAUGUGGAAAUUGGUCGCACGCCCGAGCGAAUUGGUGAGCAGGAGGGCCGCGUGAGGCUCGGCUUGGCGUUGUUGUUGUGUGGCGUGAGAAUGUGUCUCUUCAAAUCCCCACCGACAGAGACGCAUGCUUGUCGCUCUAUUUUGUGUGCGUGAAGACUGCUUAUGUAGCACACACACACGCACACAGUCUCGCUCACAUUUCUGCGUCCCCCGGGGAUGACGCUAAAAAUAUGUGGCUCCUCAAGCCUUCUGGUGUCUGAGCAGCGUCUGUCUGCUCUCCAUUGCCUCCCUCCUCCCCUCUCUUGCGCCUGUUCCCUCCAUUCCUCCCUCAAUUACACCCUCUACCUCACCGAGCGCGCGCGCACACACACACACAGACACACACGCAUGCACAAACUACGGCCAGCUGUGUCCCCGCUGCACUUCCAUGGAGGAUGACCUCUGCUCAGCCAGGGUGGGAUAAAGGGAGGCGGAAAGGAAAAAAGAAAACAAAAAAACAAGAGUGGAGUGAAGAAAGAUGCAUUUGGAAAGAGGAAGUGAUCGAGGUGCUGAAAGAAUUCUAGCUUUAAUAACAAUCUUUUACAGUUUGCAUUUUCGUCUGCUUUUCCUGAAACAUAUUUUUAAGUUAUGUUCACCUUUAUUGGCACCAUCAUACUCCCUAAGGUGUUCUGUGCUGGAGAAAUUGUGGGAAAAUAGUGUGAGCAUCCCUCCAAGGAAUUAAAAAAAAUAAAAAUAGUGCAUGUGAUACAUAGUCAGUAGGUUUGUGGUUGUAUAGUGUAUAUUGUAAAACUACUGGUAUACUAUAAGUAUUUUUGCAAUAAAUGCUCCUAUGCUGUGCAUUGCUUUGUAUUAAUAAAUAUCUAAAGUUACAAAAGAAACAGCUGGAAUUUUUUCAGAAAUAGUCUAAUAAAUAACAGUAAUAACGAGAUCACAGCAUAGAAGAGGCCAGCAGAGCAAUCUGACUGGACUCCGGGAAGCCAUGACAAAAGUCCCAUCACAGUUCUUGCUCACUGAUUCAAUCACAAUAUAUCACAAAACAAAGUUUGUAUUUAACGAUUCAAAGUAGUUGUAUUGAUUAUCUUUUUUUAAAAUUAUUUUAUGCUUGAAGGGCCCUAUAUUUAAUAUUGUAAUGUACUAAUGUUACUGCCAUUGCCAUUACAGUCAGCAAAAUGUUUAAUAAUCAUUAGUACACAUGGCUUUGUUAACCAAUAAAUGCGCAAUAACAAUAAUUAUAUUCAUAGAUUUUAUUUUCUGCGCCUUUCAUGUCACUCAAGGUCACGUCACAGGAUUUAAAACGUAUAAUUUUUCUCAGUAUGAAAAAGAGAAAAGAAAAAGGAAAAAAAUACUAAAUGAAUAAAAAUAAUCUGAAUAAGUGUAAAACCUAAGAACCUCAAUACAAAAAUGCAUGCUGAAGAAGCUAAGCUAAUAAAUUAGCUAACAUUCUCUAUUGAGAAAUAAACCUAAUUUAAUUUGAAAAACCUUGUAGCAUUAGCUCCAGCGCUGGUGCUAACACAGCAUGUGAGAUACACUGGCUGGUCCACUAGUAUUAGAGACCAAGAUCCUGUCUUGGAGUCACAAAGACAGACACUAUUCUUAUUAAAAGCCAGUGUGUCAUAUAAUUACUUUGCGCUAUUAUUAUAAUAUAGGCGGCAACAUUUAUCUUCUGGCAAUACAAUGGCAUCAUUGCUUUUCUGUCUGUGAUUGCGCUGAUGUUUCUGAUGUAAACGUCAGCUGUUUUGGAUCGUGGAAAGGUACUGGGAAGUGUCGCGACUGACGUAAUAAUAGCUCCACAUGUUCAGCAGUGAUUCCCAUCAGGAGUGCUAUUUAUUUUCAUUAAAUUGAUCUGGAUUUAUUGUUACUAAAUGAAAUGUGGUUAACAGAAAGUAGCUGUAAUAACAUUUUAAAUAAAGCAACACCAGCAAAUUUGUAUUUUAUGAACAAAUGUUGAAUAGGCAAAAAAGGCGGUGGUAUUGCUGUUAUUUUUAAGCCAUUAUUUGUUUUUUUGUGUAAAUAAAUUAUACUGGGUGUUUUGAAAUCUCAGUUUUUUAGUUAAAGGUGACCCAAAGGUUAUUGUUUUAAUAAUUUAUAGACCUCCAAGAUACAAUAGAAAAUUUAUGGAGGACUUUUCAGAAUUGCUGUCAGUUAUUUGUACUGACUACAACUAUUUUGACUUCUCUCAACAUAUUAAGAGUCCAACCCACACUCAAGGUCACAUCUUCGACCUGGUCAUCGCAAAGGAUGUUGAAAUUCUAUCAAUUGACAUUAAGGAUAUGGCUAGUUCUGACCAUUUUUGUGCAUUCUUUGAAUUACAGAUUCUUCCAAAAGUUCAGACAACCUCUAUGUCUUUUAAGAAAAGGUACAUAAAUGUGCGUACCGCCACUAAAUUUAUGGAGACCAUUGCUGUGCUGCGACAGUUGAUGAACUUUUGGAUAAUUUCACCUGUAAAAUCUCAAAUGUCAUGAAUUCUGUCGCUCCUAUCAAAACUAAGACAAUCUUGAGGCGACCUAGAACACCGUGGAGGAGCACAAUGAUGGUAAAGACCUCUAUAUCAAAGUGUGGGAAAGCAGAACGUAAGUGGAGAAAAACUAUACUCCAAAUUGACUAUGACCUCUACAGACAAAGUCUUUGCAAUUAUAACCAAGAGUUAGUCAGGGCUAGACAGCAACACUUUUCUGAAAUCAUCACUAAGAACUUCAACAAUACUCGCACUCUGUUUGCUGUGGUUGACAAGCUCACAACCCCCCUGAAUCAGAUAGCUCCAGAACUCCUAACAGCAGGUAAAUGCAAUGAAUUGGCUUAUUUUAGUGAAAAAAUACAAUCCAUCAGGUUAAAUAUUCGCACAAAUCAGCAAAAUGAUAAAAUGAUACUACAUCUGAAGCAACCCAGGAAAAACUUUAUUACCAUGUCAGAAUUUGAUACAGUUGACCAAAAAAACUGUAGAGAAAUCGGUUCAGCAGCUGAAAUCAUCAAUGAGUUGUCUUGACUCAAUACCAUCUGACUUUUUCAAAGCUAUUGCGAACUCUAUGCUAGCUGAUUUGCAGCAAAUAAUCAAUUGCUCACUUCAGUCAGGUAAGUUUCCUAAAGCUCUUAAAGUAGCGGCCAUUAAGCCUCUGCUAAAAAAAUAGAACGCUGGAUGCUUCCACGUUAGCGAGCUGUAGACCCAUCGCAAAUCUCCCUUUCAUAGCAAAGAUUGUUGAGAAAGUUAUUUUUUUAUCAACUCAGCAACUUCUUGAACUUAAAUUGACUUUUUGACAAAUUUCAAUCAGGUUUCCGAACUCAUCACAGUACAGUAUCUGCUCUUAUCAAAGUGCUAAAUGAUAUGAGGUUGAAUACUGACUUGGGAAAGGUGUCAAUUAUGGUCUUGUUGGACCUUUUGAUACGGUAGAUCAUAAUAUACUGCUGAACAGGUUGGAAACGUGAGUAGGACUAAAUGGAACAGUCCUUAAAUGGUUCAGCUCCUACCUGGAGGAAAUGAGUUAUUUUGUAACCAUUGGAAGUGUUCAAUCUCAUCGAAUGGCAAUGACCUAUGGGGUCCCUCAAGGGUCAGUUCUUCAACCCCUCCUGUUCAGCCUGUAUAUUCUACCCUUGGGUCAAAUUCUUCAGAACUUUAAUUUUGACUAUCAUAGCUAUGCAGAUGACACACAGUUAUAUCUAGCAGUGUCUUCAGAUGACAACAGUUCAAUUGAGGUGUUGUGUCACUGUCUAAAACAGAUAAAUAACUGGAUGAGUCAACAUUUUCUUCAAUUAAAUCAACAAAACUGAGAUAUUUUUGGGGGGGGCAAUAAAGAAAGAGGAUUGCUGUUUGUAAAUACCUUUAGUCACUCUCUUUAAAAACCAACUCCGAAACCUUGGUGUUCUGAUAGAUUCCGACCUGACUUUCAACAGUCAUAUCAAAUCAAUUACUUAAACUGCCUUCUACCAUCUGAAGAACAUAUCCAGAGUGAAGGCUUGCAUAUGUGAAGCAGACCAGGAGAAGCUCAUCCAUGCUUUUAUCUCAAGUAGACUAGACUAUUGUAAUGGUCUUCUGACUGGACUGCCUAAAAAGAGCAUUAAACAGCUGAACCUCAUUUAGAAUGCUGCAGCUCGGGUUCUGACCAGAACAAAGAGGUCAGAUCACAUUACUCCAAUCCUAAAGUCUUUACACUGGGUUCCAGUCAGCUUUAGAAUAGAUUUAAAAGUUCUGCUACUGGUCUAAAAAUCACUAAACGGUUUAGGUCCUGAAUACAUGAAUGAAAUGCUAAUGGAAUAUAAACCCAGUAGGGCUCUGAGAUCGACAGACUCAGGUCAAAUAGUGGAGCACAGAGUCCAAAGCAAACAUGGUGAAGCAGCAUUUAGCUAUUGUGCUGCACACAAAUGAAAUAAGUUGCCAACAGAAGUGACAUCAGUCCCAAGUGUGCAUGUUUUUAAGUCCAGGUUAAAAACUCUUCUUUUUUUCCCAUGCUUUUUAGAGCAUUUCCACUUUUAAAUGAUAUUUCUUGCACUGUAGGCUGCUUUAAUUGUAUUUUAUUUUUUGCCCUCUUUGUUUUAAAUGUUUAUAAGCUGUUUUUGUCUUUGUUUUUAAAUGCUUUUAAUCAUGUAAAGCACAUUGAGUUACCUUGUGUAUGAAAUGUGCUAUAUAAAUACAUUUGCUUUGCUUAAAUUGGUUGUAAAACGAUUUCCUACAAAUAAUGUAUAUUUUUUCAACUAUCAUGCCAGCGAUGUACAGUGACAGGCAGAACAAUUAAAUGCUCCUCCAGUAGGUGUCAAAAGGUACAAGCAACCUGUGUAUCCACCUGUUGCCAUUCAUACAACAGAAUUGUAGCUUUGUUUAACUAAACAGGCUCAGAUUUCACACUGUAAAUUUGUGAGUAAACAGAGAUGAUAUCGUCAUUCUUUCUGUAUACAGUGAACCCCGUUUACUGAGGAAGAUACAUUCCAGACCCACUCACAAUAUGUGAAAAUGUGUAAAAUAUAAAUGAUAUAAAAAUGAUUUUUAAUACAGUAGUUUUACCCUUCCCACAUGCUUUGACCACAUUUAAACUUGUUAAAAACAAUAAAAAUUAUGAAAACA